rnacentral:rRNA from 1 species
CUGCUGCCUUCCGUAGGAGUUUGGACCGUGUCUCAGUUCCAAUGUGGGGGACCUUCCUCUCAGAACCCCUACGCAUCGUCGGCUUGGUGGGCCGUUGCCCCACCAACUACCUAAUGCGCCGCAUGCCCAUCCGUGACCGGAGUCGCCCCCUUUGGCCGGAAAGGGAUGUCCCUUCCCGGCGUCAUGCUGUAUUAGGCGGGAUUUCUCCCGGUUAUCCAUCUGUCACGGCCAGGUUGCAUACGUGUUACUCACCCGUGCGCCGGUCGCCGGUGG